rnacentral:lncRNA from 1 species
AGAUUCGAUGGGGUGUAGAGAAAGAACAAUUCUUGAUUACUGGUCUGUUGGUCAGUUGGAUCUUGAUAUCUAUAAGCAAAAGGUGAUAUUAUUUGAUUAGCAGUUCGUGCCUUUGGAUCUUCUGCGUACUUCUACUGCACAUGAUUCUUCAAAUUUGUUCUAAUUUGAGCUGCUGCUGGUGAAUUUGGCUGAAACUUACAGUUGCCUUGAUCAGCUAAUGUGAUGUCGAGAGCAUUAGCAAUAGGAUUCUUGUUGUUGAUAACAUCAUUCAUUUCGGCCUACUCAGUAUCUGCUGAGGCAGAUAACGAGUUCGCCAAUUGUAAUUGCGACGAAGAAGGAGGAGGAUUCUGGACUGUACAGAACAUUCUCG